rnacentral:rRNA from 1 species
UUGAUCCUGGCUCAGGACGAACGCUGGCGGCGUGCCUAAUACAUGCAAGUAGAACGCUGAAGAGAGGAGCUUGCUCUUCUUGGAUGAGUUGCGAACGGGUGAGUAACGCGUAGGUAACCUGCCUUGUAGCGGGGGAUAACUAUUGGAAACGAUAGCUAAUACCGCAUAACAAUGGAUGACACAUGUCAUUUAUUUGAAAGGGGCAAUUGCUCCACUACAAGAUGGACCUGCGUUGUAUUAGCUAGUAGGUGAGGUAACGGCUCACCUAGGCGACGAUACAUAGCCGACCUGAGAGGGUGAUCGGCCACACUGGGACUGAGACACGGCCCAGACUCCUACGGGAGGCAGCAGUAGGGAAUCUUCGGCAAUGGGGGCAACCCUGACCGAGCAACGCCGCGUGAGUGAAGAAGGUUUUCGGAUCGUAAAGCUCUGUUGUAAGUCAAGAACGAGUGUGAGAGUGGAAAGUUCACACUGUGACGGUAGCUUACCAGAAAGGGACGGCUAACUACGUGCCAGCAGCCGCGGUAAUACGUAGGUCCCGAGCGUUGUCCGGAUUUAUUGGGCGUAAAGCGAGCGCAGGCGGUUUGAUAAGUCUGAAGUUAAAGGCUGUGGCUCAACCAUAGUUCGCUUUGGAAACUGUCAAACUUGAGUGCAGAAGGGGAGAGUGGAAUUCCAUGUGUAGCGGUGAAAUGCGUAGAUAUAUGGAGGAACACCGGUGGCGAAAGCGGCUCUCUGGUCUGUAACUGACGCUGAGGCUCGAAAGCGUGGGGAGCGAACAGGAUUAGAUACCCUGGUAGUCCACGCCGUAAACGAUGAGUGCUAGGUGUUGGAUCCUUUCCGGGAUUCAGUGCCGCAGCUAACGCAUUAAGCACUCCGCCUGGGGAGUACGACCGCAAGGUUGAAACUCAAAGGAAUUGACGGGGGCCCGCACAAGCGGUGGAGCAUGUGGUUUAAUUCGAAGCAACGCGAAGAGCCUUACCAGGUCUUGACAUCCCGAUGCUAUUUCUAGAGAUAGAAAGUUACUUCGAUACAUCGGUGACAGGUGGUGCAUGGUUGUCGUCAGCUCGUGUCGUGAGAUGUUGGGUUAAGUCCCGCAACGAGCGCAACCCCUAUUGUUAGUUGCCAUCAUUCAGUUGGGCACUCUAGCGAGACUGCCGGUAAUAAACCGGAGGAAGGUGGGGAUGACGUCAAAUCAUCAUGCCCCUUAUGACCUGGGCUACACACGUGCUACAAUGGUUGGUACAACGAGUUGCGAGUCGGUGACGGCAAGCUAAUCUCUUAAAGCCAAUCUCAGUUCGGAUUGUAGGCUGCAACUCGCCUACAUGAAGUCGGAAUCGCUAGUAAUCGCGGAUCAGCACGCCGCGGUGAAUACGUUCCCGAGCGU